AGAAUACCACGUGAUAAAAGGUUCCAUAAAUACGGGCCUUUUGUUGGGAAUCGUGACACUGAACAUAGGAUAAGACACCCCUGGCACAAAAGAGUGAAACCGCCGUUUAGUUAAGCUUCCCCUUUCGCAAUAAUGCAAGCUCCAUUCGUAUAGACUCCAACCGUACGAACUGCAAUCAGGGGAAGGCGCCAAUCUCCCAAACGGGACCCGUACGGAUGCUCCAAACUCCCGAACAAUAAUCCGUGAAUCGUUG